rnacentral:lncRNA from 1 species
AUGCGGUGCCAAGGCCACCGUUGUGCUGCCUUUGGGGCUUGCCCACACUGCAGCACCUGCUUCCUGGGCAAGCAGAGGGACCUUGGCAGAGUCCCUCUGCUUCUGCUUCUGCUCCCUGGAGACCCCUGGGUGCUCCAUCACAAAGCAUAUUCCUGUUGCCAUAUCUCCAUCACCAUGGUGAUGAUGAUGCUGAGCCAGGAACAGUGUGUGCCUCAGCUCACUGCAGUCUGCAGCAGUGGGCCAGGAGAAGUGGAGCAGGACAAGACCCUGACAGACUUCCUGAUGAAAAUCUUUAUGGCCUUGGUAUAUCUGCUGAACCUAGGAACAAAGAUGGAAAAACAUAGCAACUCCACUGAGCUGAACAGCAUGCAGAGAAUGAUUUAAGCACUACUAAAAUAUAGAUAUAAACAGAAGCUCAGGAAAUGAAGCACGAUUGGUCACAUGGGAAAUACAAAGCACUCAGUUGUGACCACAAAGCACCAGUGACUUAUUUCAAACCUGUGAAAUGCACCUGACAGACAGGAACAUGGUGAGAACCAAGGCUCGAGCGCACAAGGAAGUUUUCUCAAAGACCCUGAAACAUCCAGGUGCAGUUGUACUUGCUCAGUAAAG